GGGCUUACUUAGCAGAGCCACCAGGAUGAAGAGGCUGCUGUGGAAACUGGCCGAAGACCAAGGACAGGCUGUGUGGGAGGAAACUUGGGUAAUCAUCAGGAUAUUGGGUUCUGUGUGGUGAUUAUCUUCUCAAAGUUUUAAUAGUAUUUCAACAAAGACUGUCCGUUUCCCUUUUCCACUGAGCCUCGUGGUUUAUAAAAUGUCUGUGGGGGCUGCUAUGGGAGACCUGGGAAAGCCUCAUCUGGAAUUGAGAGCCUAAGCUCCUCUGUACUAUAUGGCCAUCACUUGGGAUGUUUAGAAAACAGAGUCUACCCCACCCAGGCUCCGCCCAGGUUCCCCCAGGCUCCGCCCACGCCCUGCCCACACUCCACAUAAUUCUUACUCAUCAGGUGGGAGAAUAGAGGAGUGUUUCCCCAGCUUGUGGCUGGCUGGCCUUUGAGAAGUCCUGCGGGGCCGUGGCUCCUCUGCUCCAGGCCUGUCCUGGGUGCAGCCCUGCAGUAUCACAAGACCCGAGGGCAGAGACUGGAUCUGAUUUCUCUGUGAGAUAGGAUAGUGCCCUAGACACACCAUCCCCUCUACCUCAUUCAGGCUAAAAAUAAAAAACAAAAGACAAAGGAACAAACCAGCCCCCAUAUAAGAUCUUGUUUUAUCAUUAGCUUCUCAUGCCAGGGGCUAAGAUACCUCUGGACUGACCAACACAAACCAGUUCUUUCUAACCACAGUGGGAUGGAUGCAGGAGAGCAGCUAUGUCUCCUGGUUGAAAGGAAUCUGCUGUCCCCUGAUCUCUGGGGACAGCUUGACAAUGACACUUUUAUUACAGCCCCAUUCAAAGCAGAUUAGCUAUUUUACAUGCCUGAUGCCUUAAAAAGAUGUAUAAACGAGUCAAAUUCAUUUUCGAUAGCCUCAUUUUUCUGAUGUGUGAAGAGCGUUGCCUGCCCGUGUGUUCCGGGAAGUCCUCCUGUGUUUACUGGUGUGUCAGGUCAGGGAUGAGCCUGCUUUCCCGGCACUGAGCCAAGCCUGAGAUGGGAACAGGCUCUUGAGGCCACAUGGGGCUCUGUGGGGGCGAGGCAAUUGAUGGAGACCUCCUCAUCUGCUAGCAGCUUCUAGAGGAGAAGGAUGUGGGGGUGGAGAAGUGCAGCUCUGUCUUCAAAAACCACUAGCAAAAAUACUCUAUAAAAGAAAAUAAAAACAUAGAAUAGUCUUUUUUUUUUUUUUCAUGGUCAGAGACCUGUUUAUACUAUCUAAAAAGUUGUUCAGGACCUCAAAUAGUUACAGAUUACGUGCGAUCAGUACCUACUGCAACAAAUGUUUUAAGUACUUAUAUAAUCUCUAUUAUGUGUUAAUAUAAAUAUUCCAUUUUGUGGAGAUAGCUAUUUUCUGAAGCAAACAAAAGCUGAGUAUGGGACAUAGAACAGUUUUACUCUGUGUGUGUAUGUGUGUGUGUGUGUGUGUGUGUGUUACUAGAAGAGGAAUUCCGCCAUCUGUUGAUUAUCUCAUGUGAGAUACCUCUAGAAAACUCUACCAGAUAUUUAUGAGAGAACAGGAGCAAACAUUGUCCUAGUGUUUUCUCAGACAGCACCUGGCCAGAUGGCAGGACACACGGGGGAACCACUGUUGGGCUGAGAGCCUCCCUGAUAGGGACCAAAAGGAAUCUCUAAAGGAGCAAUGCGGCUCAGCACACGGACCAGGAAGCAGAGAGAAGGUCAGAACAGAAAAGACUUACUAAGUGUGUUCUCAGUCCCACCACGAGGACAAGAUGAGCUACAGGAACCAAGCUAAGGCAUAGCCACAACAGGAAGGCCAUCAGACAACCCAUGAUAUGAGGGAAUUACACCUCACAGAAUACAGUAAGCAGGCACCAGCUCCAGCCAGUGAAACAUCCCCACAGUCUUCCUAUCGAAGCUAAGGAGCAAAACAGCUGGGGGCUUGGGGGAGAAUGCCGGGCCAGUGUGUCAUCCUUCUUGGCUGGAAGAAAAGAAGGUCAGAGGAUAUGAGCCAUGAAUGGGGCCUGCAGAUGUCCAAAUGGAGGCGGUGUCUGCUGGAGACGAAAAGGGGUCCAGACCCUGUGAGGAAACUUG
rnacentral:lncRNA from 1 species